AGUGAACGCUGGCGGUAGGCCUAACACAUGCAAGUCGAACGGCAGCACAGUAAGAGCUUGCUCUUACGGGUGGCGAGUGGCGGACGGGUGAGGAAUACAUCGGAAUCUACUUUUUCGUGGGGGAUAACGUAGGGAAACUUACGCUAAUACCGCAUACGACCUACGGGUGAAAGCAGGGGAUCUUCGGACCUUGCGCGAUUGAAUGAGCCUAUGUCGGAUUAGCUAGUUGGCGGGGUAAAGGCCCACCAAGGCGACGAUCCGUAGCUGGUCUGAGAGGAUGAUCAGCCACACUGGAACUGAGACACGGCCCAGACUCCUACGGGAGGCAGCAGUGGGGAAUAUUGGUCAAUGGGCGCAAGCCUGAUCCAGCCAUACCGCGUGGGUGAAGAAGGCCUUCGGGUUGUAAAGCCCUUUUGUUGGGAAAGAAAAGCAGCAGGUUAAUACCCCGCUGUUCUGACGGUACCCAAAGAAUAAGCACCGGCUAACUUCGUG
rnacentral:rRNA from 1 species